GGCAGGCUUAACACAUGCAAGUCGAGCGGUAGCAGAUCUAGCUUGCUAGAUGCUGACGAGCGGCGGACGGGUGAGUAACGCGUAGGAACCUGCCCAGUAGUGGGGGAUAGCCCGGGGAAACUCGGAUUAAUACCGCAUACGCUCUACGGAGGAAAGAGGGCUUCGGGCUCUCGCUAUUGGAUGGGCCUGCGUGAGAUUAGCUAGUUGGUGAGGUAAUGGCUCACCAAGGCGACGAUCUCUAGCUGGUCUGAGAGGAUGAUCAGCCACACUGGGACUGAGACACGGCCCAGACUCCUACGGGAGGCAGCAGUGGGGAAUAUUGCACAAUGGGCGCAAGCCUGAUGCAGCCAUGCUGCGUGUGUGAAGAAGGCUUUCGGGUUGUAAAGCACUUUCAGUGGGGAGGAAGGCCUCGUAGUUAAUAGCUGCGAGGAUUGACGUUACCCACAGAAGAAGCACCGGCUAACUCCGUG
rnacentral:rRNA from 1 species